UACGUAGGGUGCGAGCGUUAAUCGGAAUUACUGGGCGUAAAGCGUGCGCAGGCGGUUUUGUAAGCCAGAUGUGAAAGCCCCGGGCUCAACCUGGGAAUGGCAUUUGGGACUGCAAGGCUGGAGUUUGGCAGAGGAGACUGGAAUUCCUGGUGUAGCAGUGAAAUGCGUAGAUAUCAGGAGGAAUACCGAUGGCGAAGGCAGGUCUCUGGGCUAUAACUGACGCUCAUGCACGAAAGCGUGGGGAGCAAACAGGG
rnacentral:rRNA from 1 species